CCUACGGGGGGCAGCAGUGGGGAAUAUUGCACAAUGGGGGAAACCCUGAUGCAGCGACGCCGCGUGAGCGAGGAAGUAUUUCGGUAUGUAAAGCUCUGUCAGCAGGGAAGAAGAAUGACGGUACCUGAAGAAGAAGCACCGGCUAAAUACGUGCCAGCAGCCGCGGUAAUACGUAUGGUGCAAGCGUUGUCCGGAUUUACUGGGUGUAAAGGGAGCGCAGGCGGUUCUGCAAGUCUGGUGUGAA
rnacentral:rRNA from 1 species